rnacentral:rRNA from 1 species
GGUGACUGCGUACCUUUUGUAUAAUGGGUCAGCGACUUAUAUUCUGUAGCAAGGUUAACCGAAUAGGGGAGCCGAAGGGAAACCGAGUCUUAACUGGGCGUUAAGUUGCAGGGUAUAGACCCGAAACCCGGUGAUCUAGCCAUGGGCAGGUUGAAGGUUGGGUAACACUAACUGGAGGACCGAACCGACUAAUGUUGAAAAAUUAGCGGAUGACUUGUGGCUGGGGGUGAAAGGCCAAUCAAACCGGGAGAUAGCUGGUUCUCCCCGAAAGCUAUUUAGGUAGCGCCUCGUGAAUUCAUCUCCGGGGGUAGAGCACUGUUUCGGCAAGGGGGUCAUCCCGACUUACCAACCCGAUGCAAACUGCGAAUACCGGAGAAUGUUAUCACGGGAGACACACGGCGGGUGCUAACGUCCGUCGUGAAGAGGGAAACAACCCAGACCGCCAGCUAAGGUCCCAAAGUCAUGGUUAAGUGGGAAACGAUGUGGGAAGGCCCAGACAGCCAGGAUGUUGGCUUAGAAGCAGCCAUCAUUUAAAGAAAGCGUAAUAGCUCACUGGUCGAGUCGGCCUGCGCGGAAGAUGUAACGGGGCUAAACCAUG